CUCUGUAGCUCAGUUGGUUAGAGCGCUGCACCGGAAUCGAAGAGUGGCAGGUUCGACUCCUGCAUGCCAGAGG